rnacentral:rRNA from 1 species
UACGUAGGGUGCAAGCGUUGUCCGGAAUUACUGGGCGUAAAGCGUGCGCAGGCGGUUGUGCAAGACCGAUGUGAAAUCCCCGGGCUUAACCUGGGAAUGGCAUUUGGGACUGCAAGGCUGGAGUGCGGCAGAGGAGACUGGAAUUCCUGGUGUAGCAGUGAAAUGCGUAGAUAUCAGGAGGAACACCGAUGGCGAAGGCAGGUCUCUGGGCUGACACUGACGCUCAUGCACGAAAGCGUGGGGAGCAAACAGG